rnacentral:lncRNA from 1 species
UGCUUCGGUGUUAAAGCUUGCCUUGGGAAAGCCGAGCUGAGCUGAGCUGAGCUGAGCUGGCAGAAAGGAAAACUCUUCUUGUGUGCUCGCUCAGGCCUGCUGGGUAUUAAGGCAGAGGUGGGUUGGAAGCACGUGCGUCUCACGAUUAUGACGUCCGUGCUGGCCAGCUACGGCUCCCCUUUAUCCCACAGACGUAUUUGAUUCAUAAUAAAAUUUCUUCCACGGGAAUCUACAAUUCCAUAAAUGAAAGACCCACCCAGCUUUAGAGAGGACUGUCACAACUACGCAGAGCAGUUCCUCCUUCCAGCACUGGCUCAGCAAGGUGCAAAUGCGGGCGCUGGCUGAUUUGUUUCCUCAGAACGCACCUUCCUGCCUCAGAGAGAGAAAAGAGCCCAGCUUUGCAGGGCUCCAGUAACAGCCUUGAGAUUCCACUGCGGUUGUUGAUAGCUGGUUUUUUUCUUCCUGCGGAGAAAGAGAAGAAACCCACCCAGAAUUCCAGAUCCCACCCACAGGCCAGUGGUUGGGAAGCUCGAGGCCAGUCUGUUGGAGCCUCGGGGAAAGCACAGCUUCUCUUACCAGUGUAGUUUUAGGCUCACCCAUCCACGAAUAAACAAGAGACACAGUUGGGCACAGCAUUGCAUCUCAGGGACUUCUGACACUGCCAGAGAGACUUCCCCAUGUUCGUGUUCAGACAGAUAAUAUAGUUUAGGGGUUACGGCAGCCUUUAAAUUUUUAAUUUAUUAUUUUAUAUUUACCCACACGUGCAGAGUUUUUAAUACUUCAGCGCUUGUCACUUACCCAGCUGCCCCGGAAGGUAGUGGAGGAUGAAGACCUUUUUGGACAGUAGGAGACAGGGAAGGACCCUGACCUAAGUGACCAGACCAGAGAGAGAACAAAAGAACCAUGCCUUGGUCAGCACUGCUUAAUUAUGCAUGGCCUUGCCCCCUGCUGUGGCUCCUCUGUUCAGGUCUAAAGCUCCCCUCAUCCUGAGGAAGGACUUGGGGGUCACUGGAUAUUGUGGCCACUUGGAAUAAUUUCAUCAUCACUUGUGGGAUGUGAGCCACAGACUAGCCUGUGGGGGCUCCUACCAGGGAACUGAGGGUUAGGGAAAGUCAAGAAACAACACAAAGACUGGAAGCUUUCUCCACCUCGGCUUCCCAAGACAGAUGGAGCAAGUUCAGAUAGGUUUUCAGAGGAGACUGGAAGCCUUUCGCCAUCUGGGCUUCAUGUAAGAAAAAUGGUGUCCACAAGAAAAGCACGGGCAUACUCAUCUGCAUCUCUCUUUUAAUAAACUAUCUCUCUUCCUGCAACUACCCACAUGUCUCUGUCCAUUGUGUGGGGCCACGAGAACCUGCUCCUCCAGACUCAAAUCUGUACUUGUUACAGAGUGGUCACCAAUGGGCAGAAAAUACUUACCAUAUUCUAAGGAAAGGUAUGGUUAAGUUAGCUUUAACAGGUCACACUUGAAGAAUUGUUUACACACAUGGAGGAGAGUACCCAUGCGUACUCUCAAGCUCCAGCUAUGGCCUAGGAUCAGAGAUGUCUCCAGGAAAGGAAGCCUGCAUCACACUCUAGAAUGUGUCUGUCCUUAAUCCCCACCAAUUCCACU